AAUGAUUACACAACGUAUGUCCCAACAAAAUCAGCCACAAGAGGACUAGAAGACAAUGCGCUGCCGUUCAGACUACUUAUACCACAUAUUUAAAGCUGCCCACUAUCACUGACGCUAACGCUGCUGGCCAUCGUCUGUUUCUGUUCUGUUCUGCUGUAGCCGCAGUCGCAGUUUUCGCUGCUUGUCUGCUGCUCUGCUUUGCUUUGCUUGCGUGUUAUUGCCUGCACCAAAAUCACCACCACCUUCGCUCAGCAGACAGGCAGACGCACUGUCUCCGCCUCUAGCGGGUACAUUUCAAUGUCAACUAAGGUUAAAAGUAAUACAAUUUGCGAGAGGGAGUUCGCAACGUACACCCACCAAGCAC